rnacentral:rRNA from 1 species
GUGCCAGCCGCCGCGGUAAUACCGGCAGCCCGAGUGAUGGCCGAUCUUAUUGGGCCUAAAGCGUCCGUAGCUGGCUGCGCAAGUCCGUUGGGAAAUCCACGCGCUCAACGCGUGGGCGUCCAGCGGAAACUAUCCGGCUUGGGGCCGGAAGACUCGAGGGGUACGUCCGGGGUAGGAGUGAAAUCCCGUAAUCCUGGACGGACCACCGGUGGCGAAAGCGCCUCGAGAAGACGGACCCGACGGUGAGGAACGAAAGCCAGGGUCUCGAACCGGAUUAGAUACCCCGGUAGUCC